CUUAUUUUUGUGUGAAACAGUGUUUUACAUUAAAUGGACAAUUAAUAAAUGUUUUAAUUACUUAUUCCAGUGAUCCACGUUAUAGUCUACUAUUUUCAAUUUAAUAUGUUUACAAAAUCCUUAAUUUUGAAAUUACCUGACAAGGUUUUAUUGUUUUCUUUAUAGUUUUGUAUUUGCAAGUUAUUAUCAUUCUCAUCUAUUUUUCACUGCCCAUUAACCUUGUGAACCAAGGUUAAACAGUUGUAUAACAAUCAAAUUCAUGAUCCUCAGUUAAGCUGUUGAAUUAUUCUGGAUACAAUGUUUCUAUCAAGUCUUUGGCUAGUGGAAUAAAUGAACUGUUUGAAGUUUUAAUUAUAAUGAGAGCGCUUUGGUCAUCCAAUAAAGCCCAAUUGAGAGGUAUUACAUCAAACGCCUGCAUUUAUCCCAAAGUAACCGAUAAUUAAACCAAGUGAAAGACUAAAUGGAAACAAAAAAGGGAACGAACUGGAUAAUUGGAAUCUGUUGAUAGGUGAAAAAUUGAUUGCAAUGUUUAUUGAGAUCUCUCUGAAUUGCAAUCUUAACAUCAGUAAUUGUUAGCUGUUGACAACAUUAUUCACUUGUGAGGCACCUUUUAUCAUCAUAUAUAUUUUAAAACAAUUUAAAACUCAAAUGGAAAAAAAGAUCCUCAAGAAAGAUCAUGUAACUAUUUCAAAGGUGCAAUCAAUGGAGAUUGAAUCGCAUGUCUCAAUAUUUGACAGAUCAUUGCAUGUUGAUUGGCAGUGGACGAUGAAAAAGAUGAUGAAUAAUGAAAUGGGCCUUAAAGAAAGGUGUCUCUCGAUUAUCAACUAUCACCAUUAUUUUUCUCGGAUCAAGCCAAAUUAACCCUCAUUUUCUUGAUGACGGACAUGAUAACAGUUGGACAAAGAGACAGACAAGUGGACGGAAAAUUUUGACAGUAUAUUAAAUAGAUUCACAAGAAUCAUUGGACCAUUAAAUGUGAAUUUUCAUACCGUCUAAAGGUUAGGUGUUUAUUUUUCUGCUGAUGUAUAUUUUUCAUUUCACAUGCAAACAUCAGUCAACAGAGGAAUUUACCUUCUUGACCUUAUCUUCUAAUCCAUCCAGUCCAAGGCACAGUGGGGACAAAGGUUGUUGGUCCGAAACAAAUAAGCAAGAAAAGAAAAGAAAAGAAAGGUUAACAGUUAAAAUGACAAUUCACCGUCAUUUAUCAUUUGGAGGAUUAUCUUUGAUUGUUGAUCUUCCUGUCUCGCGGUUCCACCAAUUUUACCAUCAUCAUCAAGCAGCAUUACCAUCAACCUCAUCAACAAGGAAAACAACGACCUUUAACCUUCAUUGAUUAAUGUUUGAUUAACAACAAUCAAAACUGCAAAGGGCCAAGCCAAGCUUGCAUCAAUCAAUGGAGUUGAAAUCUGUUUACCAUUGUCAAAAUAUUUAGCGAGAUAUUAAUUUGAUUCCUAGAUACGCUGUUAUUAAUCAGAUACAUUUUGACAAUUUCAUGUUUCUCUUUCGUCUCAAGUAAUUACCUGUUAGAUCAAUUAAUUAACAGUAAAAAAAUUUAAAGUGAAAUGCUACUUAAGAGGAAAAGGUAAUUAAUUUAGUUGACCUCAAAAAGCCACAAGGUAAUCAUGUUCAUAUCAUUAAGGUAAUUACCUUUUACUUUCAAAGAGUAAAAAAGUCACGUUCAAGGCUGAAUUCACAGUUAACUGGGAAAGUUAAUGGUCAAAAGUAUGUACCAAGGGUCAAAGGGAACAAGAUGAAACAUGAAAGACGAACAAGAGAGUCAAAGGAAGGUGAAAAGGCAAGGAAAGAAACAAGGUUAACCCGUAGGCGAAACAGCGUAUUUCACUGAUUCCAUUUCAAGGAAAGUGAUUAGCUUCUGUGGUCUAUGGACCUGAGCAAAGUAUUAACAGAAAAAGAAACGAAAAAAAGCGAAAAGUAAAAAUGUAAAGCAACAAGGUUUUGCGGCUCAAAAUUAGAAACAGCAAGGCGCAUCAACAACAGUCAACAAGACAGAGUAAAGCAAGCAAAAGUUGAUUUAGUCAAUCAAUAGCCCGAGAGAAAGAAUCUGGUUAAUUUAAAGGUUGCAUCGCCAAUAGGAAAUGAAGAAAUGAAAGAAACGAUGAUGAGAAUGGAAAUGAAAAAAAAGGAACAGUUCAUUCCAAUAAAGCCUUAAAUUUUCAAGUAAUCGAAUCAAAUAAUUUUCAAUUCUUUUCCAAUUAACAGAUUACACAAAAAGAUGUGUAUCUUAAGGUGCAGUUAAGAAUGUCCAAACCACAUUUAGAUUAAAAUAAAACUAUUAAGGUAAAGGUAAGCCAAUUAAACUUUACCAAUAUUACCAACUUUUAAUGUACCAAACUAAUCAGUGAAUUUUUCUUGAUGUUCAAUCAUCUAAUACCGCAGUAAUCCUAAUGCUAAAAAGUCUUAAAACUUUCAAGUUGAACUUACAUGUUAAUAAUCAACUAAUUAGUCGUUAUCAAGGGACGAAUACAAAUAUUUCGACCUAUCCCAGCACAAACGAGGUAUUAAUAGAUGACAACGUAAACUAUGGCUGUAACACUAAUUCAAUAACUAAAAACUUGAAAGUUAACAAAAAUUGUCUAAUCAUGAGUUGAAUUGUCAUUUUUGGGCAAAAUGCGAAAAAUUAAUUGCAAAAAAAUACUUUUCCCUC